rnacentral:lncRNA from 1 species
UGGCACUAUAGGGGCGACCUCCUCUGCCCCUCUUUCCCGGGCGCCCCCGGGGACCGUGCGCUCAGCGGGUGGGAGGUCGAAGGAGGCGGUGACUGGGAGCCCGGGGGUGGGGGCGGGGACCCGCGGGCAGCUCCUAGCGCGCCCCCUCCCGGGCUCCGGGAGGUUCCUGGGCUCCGGAGCGCUCCCUGCGGCUCCUGCGGUCCGGACCCGGCCGGGGCCUGCUGGGUCCCAAUUCCCCUUUUUAUCCCCGCACACGGUUUAGACCCGAGUGCGGAGCGCCGCGUGCGGGUUCGGGGACCCGAGUGCGGGACGCUGUUUGCGGAUUCGGGGACCCGAGCGCAGGACGCCGCCUGCGGAUUCGGGGACCCGAGUGCGGGACGCCGCGUGCGGAUUCGGAUUCGGGGACCCGAGCGCAGGACGCCGCGUGCGGAUUCGGGGACCCGAGUGCGGGACGCCGCGUGCGGAUUCGGAUUCGGGGACCCGAGCGCGGGACGCCGCGUGCGGAUUCGGGCACCCGAGCGCGGGACGCUGUUUGCAGAUUCGGGGACCCGAGUGCGGGACGCCGCGUGCGGAUUCGGGCACCCGAGCGCGGGACGGCGCCUGCGGAUUCGGGGACCCGAGUGCGGGACGCCGCGUGCGGAUUCGGAUUCGGGGACCCGAGCGCGGGACGCCGCCUGCGGAUUCGGGGACCCGAGCGCAGGACGCCGCCUGCGGAUUCGGGGACCCGAGUGCGGGACGCCGCGUGCGGAUUCGGAUUCGGGGACCCGAGCGCGGGACGCUGCUUGCGGAUUCGGGGACCCGAGUGCGGGACGCCGCGUGCGGAUUCCUGGACCCCAGUGCGGACCGCUGCGUGCAGCCGCGGGGACCCGGUCUCCGCAGAACCUGCAGGGGGCAGAGGAGGGCGGGGCAGGCACGGGCCCCACGGGAGCAGCCCGGGGCUUCCAGCCAGGCCUCGGUUUUGAGAGCAACGGGCUCGGGAGGGCGGUUGAACAUGAAGUCUUUGCGGCGGUGGAUUAUCGGUGGGGGAGGCUGGCGGCGGGAGGCUUUGGAUUUCCAGGCUGCACCCGGGGCACUUUUCUGGAGGGAAAGGCAACUUUCCAGCCCUUUGAAGUGAGGAAGGGAGGUGGAGAAAGAUUUACACGCCAGUGCAGAAGUAUGUAA